rnacentral:tRNA from 1 species
AGAGAGGUAUGUUUACAAUAAGAACUGCUAAUUCUUGUUCACCUGAGUUAGAAUCUCAGGCUCACUC